GACGCACGCUGGCGGCGUGCUUAACACAUGCAAGUCGAACGGAGUGGCGAACGGGUGAGAAACACGUAGGUGACCUGCACUGCACUUCGGGAUAAGCCUGGGAAACUGGGUCUAAUCCCGGAUAGUGUGGGAUGGGCCCGCGGCAUAUCAGCUUGUGGGUGGGGUAAGGGCCGACCAAGGCGGCGACGGGUAGCCGGCCUGAGAGGGUGGAAGGCCACAUUGGGACUGAGACACGGCCCAGACUCCUACGGGAGGCAGCAGUGGGGAAUAUUGCACAAUGGUCGGAAGCUUGAUGCAGGGACGCCGAGUGGGGGAUGACGUCCUUCGGGUUGUAAACUCCUUUCACCAUAGACGCGGUAGAUGGAGAAGAAGCACCGGCUAACUACGUGCAAGCAGCCGCGGUAAUAC
rnacentral:rRNA from 1 species